CCUACGGGUGGCUGCAGUGAGGAAUAUUGGUCAAUGGGAGAGAUCCUGAACCAGCCAAGCCGCGUGAGGGAAGACGGCCCUAUGGGUUGUAAACCUCUUUUGUCGGAGAACAAAACCCGGGACGUGUCCCGGCCUGCGUGUAUCCGACGAAAAAGCAUCGGCUAACUCCGUUUCAGCCGCCGCGGUAAAACGGGGGAUGCAAGCGUUAUUCGGAUUUAUUGGGUUUAAAGGGUGCGUAGGCUGUGAGGUAAGUCAGCGGUGAAAUGCCCCCGCUCAACGGGGUGAAGUGCCAUUGAUAGUGCCUUGCUGGAAUGCGGAUGCCGUGGGAGGAAUGUGUGGUGUAGCGGUGAAAUGCAUAGAUAUAACACAGAACACCGAUUGCGAAGGCAUCCCACGAAUCCGCGAUUGACGCUGAUGCACGAAAGCGUGGGUAUCAAACAGGAUUAGAUACCCUAGUAGUC
rnacentral:rRNA from 1 species